UACAGAGGUCUCAAGCGUUGUUCGGAUUCAUUGGGCGUAAAGGGUGCGUAGGUGGCGCUGUAAGUCGGGUGUGAAAUUUCGGAGCUUAACUCCGAAACUGCAUUCGAUACUGCGGUGCUUGAGGACUGGAGAGGAGACUGGAAUUCAUGGUGUAGCAGUGAAAUGCGUAGAGAUCAUGAGGAAGACCAGUGGCGAAGCGGGUCUCUGGGCCGAUACUGACGCUGAGGAGCGAAAGCGUGGGGAGCAAACAGG
rnacentral:rRNA from 1 species